GAUGAACGCUGGCGGCGUGCCUAAUACAUGCAAGUCGAGCGAACGGACGAGAAGCUUGUUUCUCUGAUGUUAGCGGCGGACGGGUGAGUAACACGUGGAUAACCUACCUAUAAGACUGGGAUAACUUCGGGAAACCGGAGCUAAUACCGGAUAAUAUUUUGAACCGCAUGGUUCAAAAGUGAAAGACGGUCUUGCUGUCACUUAUAGAUGGAUCCGCGCUUCAUUAGCUAGUUGGUAAGGUAACGGCUUACCAAGGCAACGAUGCAUAGCCGACCUGAGAGGGUGAUCGGCCACACUGGAACUGAGGCACGGUCCAGACUCCUACGGGAGGCAGCAGUAGGGAAUCUUCCGCAAAGGGCGAAGGCCUGACGGAGCAACGCCGCGUGAGUGAUGAAGGUCUUCGGAUCGUAAAACUCUGUUAUUAGGGAAGAACAUAUGUGUAAGUAACUGUGAACAUCUUGACGGUACCUAAUCAGAAAGCCACGGCUAACUACGUG
rnacentral:rRNA from 1 species